rnacentral:lncRNA from 1 species
AUCCUUCUUGCACUGGGAUUGCUCUCUCGUAUGGGCUGACCAACACCUAAAAUGGUGCUAGUUUGGGGCAUCCCAUGUGGGUGAGGGAUUAGGUGCAAAGUGGUUGUCAUAAGUGAUGGCAAUUUUAUCUAAUGUAGGAAUCUUUCUUUUAUGAGUAUUGGACUGAUUUAAAUCAGAUUUGAGUUAGAAGUCCAAUACUUAUUGGGUAAUAAAAAUCAUCUAUAAAUAGAGAGGGUCUCUACCUAUGGAUGCAUAGCAAAUAAAUCAGAUUGAGAGAAGAGAAAGAGAGA